rnacentral:rRNA from 1 species
GACGAACGCUGGCGGCGUGCUUAACACAUGCAAGUCGAACGGUGAAGGGGUCUGCUUUUGUGGGCCCUGGAUGAGUGGCGAACGGGUGAGUAACACGUGAGUAACCUGCCCCCUUCUUCUGGAUAACCGCAUGAAAGUGUGGCUAAUACGGGAUAUUCUGGGUCUGUCGCAUGAUGGGUCUGGGAAAGAUUGCGCCUUUGGGUGUUUUUGGUGGGGGAUGGGCUCGCGGCCUAUCAGCUUGUUGGUGGGGUGAUGGCCUACCAAGGCGGGGACGGGUAGCCGGCCUGAGAGGGUGGACGGUCACACUGGGACUGAGACACGGCCCAGACUCCUACGGGAGGCAGCAGUGGGGAAUAUGGCACAAUGGGCGCAAGCCUGAUGCAGCGACGCCGCGUGAGGGAUGGAGGCCUUCGGGUUGUAAACCUCUUUCGCCAGUGAAGCAGGCCUGCUCCGUGUGGGUGGGUUGACGGUAGCUGGAUAAGAAGCGCCGGCUAACUACGUG